ensembl:misc_RNA Metazoa_SRP Metazoan signal recognition particle RNA
GCCAGGUGUGGUGGUGCACAUCUGUAGUUCCAGCUACUUGGAAGGCUGAUACAGGAGGAUCACUUGAGCCAGGGAGUUCAAGGCUGCAGUGAGGUAUGAUUGUGCUACUGCAUUCCUGCCAAGGCAACAAAGUGAGAUCUUGUCUCAA